rnacentral:rRNA from 1 species
GGGUUGUGAGGUUAAGCGACUAAGCGUACACGGUGGAUGCCCUGGCAGUCAGAGGCGAUGAAGGACGUGCUAAUCUGCGAUAAGCGUCGGUGAGGUGAUAUGAACCGUUAUAACCGGCGAUUUCCGAAUGGGGAAACCCAGUGUGUUUCGACACACUAUCAUUAACUGAAUCCAUAGGUUAAUGAGGCGAACCGGGGGAACUGAAACAUCUAAGUACCCCGAGGAAAAGAAAUCAACCGAGAUUCCCCCAGUAGCGGCGAGCGAACGGGGAGGAGCCCAGAGCCUGAAUCAGUGUGUGUGUUAGUGGAAGCGUCUGGAAAGGCGUGCGAUACAGGGUGACAGCCCCGUACACAAAAAUGCACAUAUUGUGAGCUCGAUGAGUAGGGCGGGACACGUGGUAUCCUGUCUGAAUAUGGGGGGACCAUCCUCCAAGGCUAAAUACUCCUGACUGACCGAUAGUGAACCAGUACCGUGAGGGAAAGGCGAAAAGAACCCCGGCGAGGGGAGUGAAAAAGAACCUGAAACCGUGUACGUACAAGCAGUGGGAGCCUCUUAAUGGGGUGACUGCGUACCUUUUGUAUAAUGGGUCAGCGACUUAUAUUCUGUAGCAAGGUUAACCGAAUAGGGGAGCCGAAGGGAAACCGAGUCUUAACUGGGCGUUAAGUUGCAGGGUAUAGACCCGAAACCCGGUGAUCUAGCCAUGGGCAGGUUGAAGGUUGGGUAACACUAACUGGAGGACCGAACCGACUAAUGUUGAAAAAUUAGCGGAUGACUUGUGGCUGGGGGUGAAAGGCCAAUCAAACCGGGAGAUAGCUGGUUCUCCCCGAAAGCUAUUUAGGUAGCGCCUCGUGAAUUCAUCUCCGGGGGUAGAGCACUGUUUCGGCAAGGGGGUCAUCCCGACUUACCAACCCGAUGCAAACUGCGAAUACCGGAGAAUGUUAUCACGGGAGACACACGGCGGGUGCUAACGUCCGUCGUGAAGAGGGAAACAACCCAGACCGCCAGCUAAGGUCCCAAAGUCAUGGUUAAGUGGGAAACGAUGUGGGAAGGCCCAGACAGCCAGGAUGUUGGCUUAGAAGCAGCCAUCAUUUAAAGAAAGCGUAAUAGCUCACUGGUCGAGUCGGCCUGCGCGGAAGAUGUAACGGGGCUAAACCAUGCACCGAAGCUGCGGCAGCGACACUAUGUGUUGUUGGGUAGGGGAGCGUUCUGUAAGCCUGUGAAGGUGGCCUGUGAGGGUUGCUGGAGGUAUCAGAAGUGCGAAUGCUGACAUAAGUAACGAUAAAGCGGGUGAAAAGCCCGCUCGCCGGAAGACCAAGGGUUCCUGUCCAACGUUAAUCGGGGCAGGGUGAGUCGACCCCUAAGGCGAGGCCGAAAGGCGUAGUCGAUGGGAAACAGGUUAAUAUUCCUGUACUUGGUGUUACUGCGAAGGGGGGACGGAGAAGGCUAUGUUGGCCGGGCGACGGUUGUCCCGGUUUAAGCGUGUAGGCUGGUUUUCCAGGCAAAUCCGGAAAACCAAGGCUGAGGCGUGAUGACGAGGCACUACGGUGCUGAAGUGACAAAUGCCCUGCUUCCAGGAAAAGCCUCUAAGCAUCAGGUAACAUCAAAUCGUACCCCAAACCGACACAGGUGGUCAGGUAGAGAAUACCAAGGCGCUUGAGAGAACUCGGGUGAAGGAACUAGGCAAAAUGGUGCCGUAACUUCGGGAGAAGGCACGCUGAUAUGUAGGUGAAGCGACUUGCUCGUGGAGCUGAAAUCAGUCGAAGAUACCAGCUGGCUGCAACUGUUUAUUAAAAACACAGCACUGUGCAAACACGAAAGUGGACGUAUACGGUGUGACGCCUGCCCGGUGCCGGAAGGUUAAUUGAUGGGGUUAGCGGUAACGCGAAGCUCUUGAUCGAAGCCCCGGUAAACGGCGGCCGUAACUAUAACGGUCCUAAGGUAGCGAAAUUCCUUGUCGGGUAAGUUCCGACCUGCACGAAUGGCGUAAUGAUGGCCAGGCUGUCUCCACCCGAGACUCAGUGAAAUUGAACUCGCUGUGAAGAUGCAGUGUACCCGCGGCAAGACGGAAAGACCCCGUGAACCUUUACUAUAGCUUGACACUGAACAUUGAGCCUUGAUGUGUAGGAUAGGUGGGAGGCUUUGAAGUGUGGACGCCAGUCUGCAUGGAGCCGACCUUGAAAUACCACCCUUUAAUGUUUGAUGUUCUAACGUUGGCCCGUAAUCCGGGUUGCGGACAGUGUCUGGUGGGUAGUUUGACUGGGGCGGUCUCCUCCUAAAGAGUAACGGAGGAGCACGAAGGUUGGCUAAUCCUGGUCGGACAUCAGGAGGUUAGUGCAAUGGCAUAAGCCAGCUUGACUGCGAGCGUGACGGUGCGAGCAGGUGCGAAAGCAGGUCAUAGUGAUCCGGUGGUUCUGAAUGGAAGGGCCAUCGCUCAACGGAUAAAAGGUACUCCGGGGAUAACAGGCUGAUACCGCCCAAGAGUUCAUAUCGACGGCGGUGUUUGGCACCUCGAUGUCGGCUCAUCACAUCCUGGGGCUGAAGUAGGUCCCAAGGGUAUGGCUGUUCGCCAUUUAAAGUGGUACGCGAGCUGGGUUUAGAACGUCGUGAGACAGUUCGGUCCCUAUCUGCCGUGGGCGCUGGAGAACUGAGGGGGGCUGCUCCUAGUACGAGAGGACCGGAGUGGACGCAUCACUGGUGUUCGGGUUGUCAUGCCAAUGGCACUGCCCGGUAGCUAAAUGCGGAAGAGAUAAGUGCUGAAAGCAUCUAAGCACGAAACUUGCCCCGAGAUGAGUUCUCCCUGACUCCUUGAGAGUCCUGAAGGAACGUUGAAGACGACGACGUUGAUAGGCCGGGUGUGUAAGCGCAGCGAUGCGUUGAGCUAACCGGUACUAAUGAACCGUGAGGCUUAACCUUACAACGCCGAAG